CCUUAAUGUUAAUUACUUAAUGCUUUCCUACUGGGAUCUCUUUCGAUGCUGGAGGUCCGUGAGGAUGUAAGUCCAUAAGUGCGAUUUAGUCAGUGUAAAUCGCGGAAGCGCCUCUAGUGGCUGUCAGUGAGACAGCCACUAGAGGCUGGAUUAACCCUGCAGUGUAAACAUAGCAGUUUACCUGAAACUGCUAUGUUUUCAGCUGCAGGGUUCAAACUAAGGGGACCUGGCACCCAGACCACUUCAUUGAGCUGAAAUGGUCUGGGUGCCUAUAGUGGUCCUAAAAAAAC